rnacentral:lncRNA from 1 species
UUUUUUGAGAGAGUGAAAUCGUUUCAUUAAUUAUUGGGUAAACUUCAAAUAUCAUUCUUGUAGUUUCGCGCUUUCUCACUUUUGUAUCAUGUAGUUUAAAAUGUAGCACUUUUAGUACAAUGUGACUUCAUUUUUCUCUUUCCGUCUGCGCCUCAGUUAAUUCUUUGUUAAAUCAUAUAUAAAAAACGUCAGAUACCUCGCCUAUGAUUUUCUGAAUUUUUAUUUAAUACUUUAUGAUUUACUGAACUUUUACUUUAGUACGCUGUAGUUUUAAUUUUGUCACUGAUUUAAUUAACGAAAAAAUUAAUGGAGGGGAUAACGGAAAGAGUAAAACGAAACCACAGAAUACGGAAGUGAUGCAUUUUAAAUCACAUGGCACUAAAGUGAAAAAGCACGAAACUACAGAGAUAGUAUUUGAAUUUUUUCUUAAUUAAUUUUCUUAAAAUGUAAAAAACUUCUUAUGCAAACGUAAUAUAAGAUUCAAGCUUUAUCUCAACCAUUCACCACUUUAAAAUGAAAAAUUGUAACCUAAACCUGCCCUUUUGUUUUUUUGUGAAGAGAAUGAUAGCAUGUUGCCGAUUUUGUUCAUUUUUUAGAAAUAAAUUUGACUGAAAAUAUAAAACAACUAGAUUUCGAAUUAACUUAAGGCCUCAGAUACCAAUCAUCAAGUCCUUCUUCACUUGCGUUUGCGACGGUCGGUCUAAACCUACCGCUUGUUAAUUAAUUAAU